CUUGGGAGGAGGUGGCUGCUCGUGUGAACGCAGUCAGCCGAGUGGGUAGCUCUGAGGAAGUUUAAGGACCUACGGAGCCACGUGAAGAGCAAGGCUGCUGCAGAACAUCAUCAUGCUACAGGCACUAGAGAGUCUGGCCCUCUGUGAGGACCACAGCCAUCCACCCACCAGCAGUGGUGUUACAGUCAUCCAGCCCUCAUCUGCUGGUGUUGCUGGGGCCUCUGGAUUCAUUGUUGCUGUGGGUGCAGCAUGUGAAGUUUUAGCAGUGGGCAUUAGUUUCUGAACUCAUGCAUCUUACAGAUGACAUCACCCAUUGGUGAAUAACUGUUGCCACUCAUUCAUGUUAACAUGUAUUCAGUUUUGUUCUCCUGUACAUACCUAUGAACAUUGUAUGUACAUUUAGCAUAUGAGCUAUUUGUGCAGUACAUUAUUAUUGGACAAUUUGUUUAACCCUCAUUUGUAUGCUGUUACUUCAGCUGCCCAGCAAAACUGCAGCAGAAGGCUACUUUGGCUUAUUUUUUUUAGGAAUACAUCUCUCAGGUAUUUAAAAUACUGAUUCCAAAAGUGUGUCUUGACACCACCUUGGGUAUAGUGGAAAGGUCCAAGGAGCAAAUGAGGAAAAAGGACACAGCAGGAUAGCAAGACAUGUAACUUGACACACCGUCAAUCAUCACCGUCUGCUAUGUGUAGUGCUACUUCAUUUCAAAUACUAAAAGAUGAAGCAAAACCUGCCAUUUAGUGCUGCUAAUUAACAGCUUCUAUAAAUAUUUCCUGUGUUUUUAUGUAUUGGAGGAAGAGACACUGAAUAGUGGGUAAAAUAGUAAUUCAGUCUUUGAGACGUGUGAAAUGUGGUAAACAUGAUCCCGUAGGAGUGCCUCAAUGUAAUUCAGUCUUUGAGAUGUGUGAAAUGUGGCAAACAUGAUCCCGUAGGAGUGCCUCAAUGUAAUUCAGUCUUUGAGACGUGUGAAAUGUGGCAAACAUGAUCCCGUAGCAGUGCCUCAAUGUAAACAGUUUUCAAGUGGUUUGGUGGCAAAGCUGGCUCUCUCAACAAUCCCCAAGGCCAUCACUGCUGCACACCUGUAUCUUCCCAGCAGAAAGAUAUCUAAGUGUUAUGGUCACCUUCAUUUCAGAGGUAAGUGGGUUGUUCCUUUCUGUGUCACUCUACAAGGAUUCUCUUACUAGAUCGGUGACAGAGAGAAUACCUGCAUGAUCUACAUGGUAUCUUUUGAUGAGUUCUGUGUCAUAAAUUCAUACAAUAUAUCCUAUCUGGGUAAAUAAUUCCUAAGCUGGGGUGGUUGUGGGUGGCCAUCUUGGUAGCAGGAGCAUCUGUCUUAAGCUGCUAAGACAGGGUGGACUCAGUCUUACCAUCCCAUGUGGAUUUAAGACAAGAAUGCUCCAUUCUGUCCUAGCUAUGACUUAUUUCAUAACUAAGACUUGCUAGGACUGCUUCAUAACUCCUAGAAUAGAAUACAAGAAGAGGUGUAAGGCAAGGACUGUACACAUGACUUUUUUUUUUAAGGCUCACUGGCCAAGGGAAACAAGAGGAAAAAAGAUCCCACUGAGGGGUCAGUCCUGAAAGAGAUGUCAAGAGAAUCAUUGAAAUUUGAAGGAUAGGUGUCUUAAAACCUCCUGCUUGAGAGAGUUGAAGUCACAGAAAGGAGGAAAUACAGAAGCAAGCAGUAAGUUCUAGAGUUUACCAGAAAAGCGAAUGAAUGAUUGAGAAUACUGGUUAACUCUUGCAUUAGAGAGAUGGACAGAAUAGGGAUGAAAGAAAGAAGAAAGUCUUGUGCUGCAAGGUUGCAGGAGGAGGGGCAAGAGGAGGGCAGGCAUGCAGUUUGCAAGAUUAGAAGAGCAGUUAGCAUGAAAACAGCAGUAAAAGAUAGCAAGAGAUGCAACAUUGUGGUGAUGAAAAAGAGGCUGAAGACAGUCAGUAAGAGAAAAAUUGAUAACACAAAAAACUUUUGAUUCCACCCUGUCUAAAAUAGUGGUAUGAGUGGAACCCCCCCCCCCCCAGUAAUGUGAAGCAUACUACAUACAUAGACGGAUAAAGGCCCAGUACAGAGUUAGCAGCUGGGGGUGAGAAAAACUGGCAGAGAUGUCUCAGAAUGGCUAGAUUCAUAGAAGCUGUCCUAGCUAGAGAUGAGAUGUGAAGUUUCCAGUUUAGAUUAUAAGUAAAGGACAGACCGAGGAUGUUCAGUGUAGAAGGGGGGGACAGUUGAGUGUCACUGAAGAAGAGGAGAUAGUUGUCUGGAAGGUUGUGUUGAGUUGACAGUUGGAGGAAUUAAGUUUCUGAGGCAUUGAACAAUACCAAGUUUGCUCUGCCCCAAUCAGAAAAAUUUUUGAAAAAUCAGAAGUCAGAUAGUCUCUAGCUUCCCAGUGUGAAGUGUUUACUUCCUGAAGGGUUGGAUGUCUAUGAAAAGAUGUCCAAAAGUGCAGGGUGGUAUCAUCAGCUUAGGAGUGGAGAGGACAAGAAGUUUGAUUUAGAUCAUUGAUGGAUAAUAGGAAAAGAGUGGGUGACAGGACAGAACCCUGAGGAACACCUCUGUUAAUAGAUUUAGAACAACAGUGACCCUCUACCACAGGAGCAAUAGAACAGUCAGAAAAGAAACUUGGGAUGAAGUUACAGAGGAUAGAAGCUGUAGGAAGGUAGUUUGGAAAUCAAAGCUUUGUGCCAGACUUGAUCAAAAGCUUUUGAUAUGUCUAAGGCAACAGCAAAAGUUUCACCAAAAUUCUUUAAAGAGUAUGACCAAGAUUCAGUAAGGAAAGGGAGAAGAUCACCAGCAGAGCAGCCUUGAUGGAACCCAUACUGGUGAUCAGAUAGAAGGUUGUGAAGUGAUAGAUGUUUAAGAAUCUUCCUGUUGAGGAUAGAUUAAAAAACUUUAGAUAGGCAGGAAAUUAGAGCAAUAGAAUGGUAAUUUGCAGGAUUAGAAUGGUCACUCUUUUUAGGGAACAGGCUGAAUGUAGGUAAACUUCCAGCAAGAAGAAAAGGUAGAUGUUGACAGACAGAGCUGAAAGACUUUGACUAGGCAAGGUGCAAACAUGGAGGUACAGUUUUGAAGAACAAAAGUAAGGACCCCAUCAGGUCCAUAAGCCUACCGAGGGUUUAGGCCAGUGAGGGCAUGGAAAAUAUCACUGCGAAGGAUUUUAAUAAGUAGCAUGAAGUAAUCAGAAGGUUGAAGAGAGGGAGGAACAAGGCCUGAAUCAUCCAAGGUAGAGUUUUUAGCAAAGAUUUGAGCAAAUGGUCAGCUUUAGAAAUAGAUGAGAUGGCAGUGAUGCCAUCAGGUUGAAAUGAAGGAGGGAAAGAUGAAGAAACAAAGUUAUUAGAGAAGUUUUUUGGCUAGAUGCAAGAAGUCAUGAAGGGAGUUAGAUCUUUAAAGAUUUUUAUUUUUGAAGAACAGAGUUGGUAUGGUUCAGGGCAGAAAUAUAAAGUGCAUGAGAUUCUGGUGAUGGAAGGCUCAAGUACCUUUUGUGAGCCACCUCUCUAUCAUGUAUAGCACAAGAACAAGCUGUGUUAAACCAAGGUUUGGAAGGUUUAGGUCAAGAAAAAGAGUGAGGAAUGUUCGCCUCCAUGCCAGACACUAUCACCUCUGUUAUGUGCUCAGCACACAGGGAUGGUAAUAGCUCCUCAGCUCCCUCUGAUUAGCAGAGGCAAAAUGCCAGAGCCACUUUCACUUAGGGGGAUCCUGAGGAGGGAGUGGAGUGACAGAACAAGAUACAGAUAUGAGAUUGUGAUCAGAGGAGCCCAAUGGAGAAAAUAAGGUGACAGCAUAAGGAUUAGAGGUCAAGAAUGUUGGGCGUAUCUCCAAGAUGGUCAGGAAUACAAGUAGGGUGUUGCACCGACUGCUCUUGGUCAUGGAGGAUAUCAAAGUUAAUUAAAGGCCAGUUUGCCAGGAUGGUCAGUGAAGGGAGAGGAAAGCCAAAGCUGGUGGUGAACACUGAAGACUCCGAGAAUGCAGGUCUCUGCAAAAGGGAAGAGAGUCAGAAAGUGCUCUACUUUGGAAGUUAACCAACCAACAACACAAUGGGACAAAACUCCAGCCUCAGCAGCAUCUUGCACCACCACAACACAACACUCACUGAGAAUCAAUUAUUACUUGUAUGAGGCAAGUGUGGACACAACAACAGCAACUUGUGUAAGCAAGCUUGACAAGAACACCAUAGUGCACCUCCCUGCAUGAAGAUGAGGGGUGUAUGCACGGCUGGAAGCCUCAACCUUCAUCACCCAGUAGCUGCCACCUCCCUGUGAAGCACCAACAGCCUGAUGCAGAACUCAGGACACCAGUUCACACACUCAGCCACAAAUCAAAGCAAUAAGCCAACUGUGGCUCUGUAUUCUCAAACACUUUGGUGUUGUAUCUUAAUAACACUUAACUGGAUGAAGUAGAAGUUAUUGGAUUUUCAUGAUUCUAAUGAUACUUUAAAAAAGGAUUUUCCACUAGUAAGAAAAAUAUCCAGGGGGAACCUGACUAAUCAUUUCUGUAAACCUUGGAGAUUGUUGCAGUGAAAGCCCACAGUGUUUAAGAGUAGUGUUACCAAGCAGGGAAGCCUCAAGUCCAAGCAACAAUCAGGUCCUGAAGAAUACAGCCUCAGUGUUGUGGUCAGCAGUGGCAGAGGAGUGAGGGUGGAGAGGGGAGGCUUCUACCACUACUGGAAGUGUCAAAGAGCUGUCUUGCUGGCAUCCUGAACAAUCUUCUCCAGCUCCAGGUCAGCCAUCAGCUGCUCCAGAGGCUCCACUCCUGCUGUAGUGGGGAAGCAAUAAUGUAGGUUACCUGGCAGGGGACUAUCAUGUGACACUGCUUCACUAAGUCUGUAAUAAUAGUUUUGCCAGCUGAGGAAACAAGAACAUGGUAACAUGGCCACUGAUUGACGCUGUCACUCGCUGGUCUGUGCAUUGCCUGUCUUGUUUUGAAAAGUGUAGCUAAACUUACAUAUUUCUGCUGAAGCCCUUACUUGACUAUAAUGUUUCUGAAUAUACAACUUACAAUAAUCAUGUAUUCUACAUUAUCUAAUAGUUUUUGGUAGAAAUAAAGCAACUUUUGCUGGGGAUUCUAACCUGAACAGCAUUGAAUGCUUAAAUCUAAUGUACCUCCUGCCAAGUCAAUGGAGUGUAAAAUAUUUAUGUAUUUUAAUCCUUUUUUUGCAUAUGGUGGUGGGAGAGCUCCACUGCUCCUGUGGGGGGAUGCAUGCCAUCACACUGCAGCAGCAUUUCAGCCAGCCUGUCCUGGCCACACAAUGACUACACAGCAAACCCAUGACCACAGAGAGAGGGGUGACACAGUAGCAGCACUGAGUGGUGACAAGACCCAUACUCAUCAGUCUGAUAUCACACACUGUGCCAAGGGCAGUACAUAACAGGCUGAGUGACACACUACGUGGCACUGCCUGUACUGCUAGGUGACAGCUGGUCUGGGUGACGGUGCAACACAGGGACCAGCGCCAGUCCACUUCCCACUGCAUUAUGAGUAUUAUUGUUAUUUUUCAUGUUUUAGAAUUCAUAUAUGAUCUUUAUGCAAAUGGAGAGAAGAAGAGAGAAAAAACUACUUAACACAGGCAAAAUCACAAGGGUAGGAGUUGCAAUCAAAACAAUACAGGAAUACAAAUGGCAAGUGCCAAAAUAAUGUUUGGUGCUUCAUGACAGAAUUGUAAAACUUUGCUCAGUGGCAGCCUGGUGACUGUUGAGAGCAGUGUCAUGCAUCCAGCAACUCACUCAAAGUUGAGGUCAUCCACCAGAACCACUGACCAACACUCAUCUCUCAAUUAAAGAUAAAGCAUUUUGAAAAGCAUCAUCUCAUUUCUUUCCAAUAAUUUAAACAGAUGUGCACUGGUAUGGAUUACAUUAUCUUUGCAAUGGAUGGCAGAAAAGAAUUAACUGAAGGGCACACUGGAGUACUGUGACUUUACACAAGACAGACUGCAGUGGAGGGAACAGCAAGGAUUACAGGUGUUAGGAGAUGUGUGCAGAAGUGGCUGACAAAGUGUUGGGGAGGGGACACUAACACAAGAAGAGGCCAGAGUGAGGGCACAAGGCAUCAGGAUGCAUACUAAAUGUUAUGAAACAUUGAGAGGAUGCCCAUCCUCAAAUAACAGCAGGAGGACUGUGAGAACAAAACACCCACACACACGUGUCUACCAGAGUGGCCCACCGCUGCCUACACAACAUCCCUCCCUCACUUUCACAGAUGCCAUUCUCCCAAAAAAAUCCCUCACUACCUGUACACAUCAAAAGCUUUGGUACACCUGCCAAGAAAUAACUACAAUGGGUAUGACAAGCUGGCAACAAGUGUCUUGGACCACUGUGUCUGUGUCCUGUAGUCAUGGCAAACAUGUGUGCCAUGGACAAGGAAUGAUUCCUUUAGUUAAUUAUGGUGUAGGAAAUUCAGUGUUUUCAACUAGAAAUAAAAAAAAAAAAUCAAAACAAUCAUUUAGAGUUUUUGCAUGACUUGUUCCUUGGGCCAUUUGAAAUGUGCAUUGUCACACACACCAAAAAAUCACAACUGCCUGCUGGACUCAUAAGAGCACUGGCCACCCCAUUCCCCUGAUCUUUAACCGAUCACUGAGAGGCACAGGCAGAGGAGGGCAGCCUGGACACCACAAAACUGCAGACAGGUAUCAGGGAGGAAUGAAAUGAUUCAAAGCCACAGACACUCAUGGAACUUGCUGAUCUGUCUCCUUCAUGUCUUGGGAAAGGUGCAAGAAGGAAGAAGCCAGUCCAUUCCUAGUUUCUCUGUAAGUAAUAUAAUGGUUUUGUUCUCUUCA